GGUGUGAUAAGAAAAAACAAGUUAGACGUUUUCACAGUAAAUUAUAUAGACGAUAUAUUAGUGUUCUCUAAGACUUACGAAGAGCAUGUAUAUCAUGUAGAGCAAGUACUGCAAAUACUAUAUAAAUAAGGUUUUAAAUUGAAUAAAAAUAAAUGUAAGUUCGCCCAAGAAAAGAUAACAUAUUUGGGACACGAAAUUGGAAGCAAUAUGAUUAAACCAAUAAAUGAUAAUUUAGUGGCUAUCAAGAAGUUUUCCACACCCAAAACAAAAACACAAGUUAGACAAUUUUUAGGGAAGAUCAAUUUUUAUUUGGAGUUUAUACCAAAUCAUGUUGUCUUAUUAGAUCCUUUGAGAAAUCUGUUAAGAAAGAAUGUACCCCUCGAUUGGACCGAAGAGUGUAGGAAUAGUUUUAAUUCGACAAAAGAAUAUUUGUGCACAGCUCCCGCUUUGGCAAUUUUUGAUCCAGAGGCCCCAAUAUUUAUCUUCACUGAUGCAAGCAUUGAAGGAGUUGGAGCAAUAUUGAAGUAACAACAGGAAAAUAGCUUUUAAAAAUUCAAAAGAAAUUCACAAUCGAAAUAAGGAAUAUUACAAUAAGAACGUAAAACAGAUAGAUUAUAAAGUAGGAGAUUUAGUUUAUGUACAAAGCGUUAAUAAAUUGAACAAAAAUAAAAUAGAUCCAAUUAGAGUAGGUCCGUUUAAAAUUAAAGAGAAAAUUUCUGAUGUAAUGUUUUUGUUAGAUAGUAGAUUUAGAAAAAAGGAGUCAAAUAUUUUUCAUGCUAGCAAGCUUGUUCAUCAAUCCCAAGGAGUGUAUCCCCGGUCUUAAAAAGGGGGGGAUGUAAGCUUGUUGGUUAUCAAGCUCGACCUUGCCGCGGCUUGUAGACUCGCGCAUGAGAGGCAGUAGGUAACAAGACUCCGAGCUGAGAGUAUCGAUGAUAUCGUACGGAGAUAGAUAAAGGUUUGCCAUCGACAAUUGUAUUGAUUCAGUUGUUUACUGCAUCAUGCGUGUUGAUUCUUAAACCGAACCCUCGCUCCAUUGAAGUUCCAUAAAUCGAGCACUUACAUAUAUUUGAAAUUUUUAAUAUAUAUAAAUAAAUUUAAAAAAAAUUAUUUAUUGACAAAUUGGAGAGGAAUUAAUUUUGAAAGUAGAUAUACGUAUAUGCGUUUCAUGAAAAUCAAGUAUUACUAUAAUCUAUAACGUUUAUAAUUUGUUCUUUGAAUAAUUUAUAUAUUGGUUUUGAAUUUGGCUAUAUAUAUAUAUCACUGUUUUGACUAUAUAUAUAUCGCAUCAUGGCGCUUGCAUCGAUGCUUCUACCCUAAGCUGACAAGUAAACAAUAAAUACGUGUACGGUCCAUUGCGAUGAUACCAAAGUGUGACGCAGAGUGUCGAAAUGCGUAUAUCAUCUGUAGUAUUUUAUUAUAUCUGAGACUUUGUAUUUCAGAUUUCGUAUUUGAUUAAUAUCAUUGAUAUUUGUGCUUUCAUAACAAGUUUGUUAUAUCACAAAAGAUUAUAUUAAGAGUGUCUGUAUCUAACCCGUUUGAGGAAUCAUAAGUGCCAAAAAUAAAAAUACGAGAGAAGAAAAAAUA